rnacentral:rRNA from 1 species
UGCGUUNUGAACUGGGUGACUAGAGUGUGUCAGAGGGAGGUAGAAUUCCACGUGUAGCAGUGAAAUGCGUAGAGAUGUGGAGGAAUACCGAUGGCGAAGGCAGCCUCCUGGGACAACACUGACGUUCAUGCCCGAAAGCGUGGGUAGCAAACAGGAUUAGAUACCCUGGUAGUCCACGCCCUAAACGAUGUCGAUUAGCUGUUGGGCAGCAUGACUGCUUAGUAGCGAAGCUAACGCGUGAAAUCGACCGCCUGGGGAGUACGGUCGCAAGAUUAAAACUCAAAGGAAUUGACGGGGACCCGCACAAGCGGUGGAUGAUGUGGAUUAAUUCGAUGCAACGCGAAGAACCUUACCUGGUCUUGACAUGUACGGAACCCUCCAGAGACGGAGGGGUGCCUUCGGGAGCCGUAACACAGGUGCUGCAUGGCUGUCGUCAGCUCGUGUCGUGAGAUGUUGGGUUAAGUCCCGCAACGAGCGCAACCCUUGUCAUUAGUUGCCAUCAUUAAGUUGGGCACUCUAAUGAGACUGCCGGUGACAAGCCGGAGGAAGGUGGGGAUGACGUCAAGUCCUCAUGGCCCUUAUGACCAGGGCUUCACACGUCAUACAAUGGUCGGUACAGAGGGUAGCCAAGCCGCGAGGUGGAGCCAAUCUCACAAAACCGAUCGUAGUCCGGAUCGCACUCUGCAACUCGAGUGCAUGAAGUCGGAAUCGCUAGUAAUCGCAGGUCAGCAUACUGCGGUGAAUACGUUCCCGGGUCUUGUACACACCGCCCGUCACACCAUGGGAGUGGGGGAUACCAGAAGUA